AGCGAACGCUGGCGGCGUGCCUAACACAUGCAAGUCGAACGUGAAAAGGGGCAACCCUGAGUAAAGUGGCGUACGGGUGAGUAACGCGUAGGUAAUCUACCCCAGAGUCUGGAAUAACCGGCCGAAAGGCUGGCUAAUACUGGAUAGAGCGAAGAACUCGUAAGAGGGUUUUUCGGGAAAGGGAGGGAGUAAUCCCCCUCGCUUUGGGAUGAGCCUGCGUCUCAUUAGCUAGUUGGUAGGGUAACGGCCUACCAAGGCUUGGAUGAGUAGCUGGUCUGAGAGGAUGAUCAGCCACACUGGAACUGAAACACGGUCCAGACUCCUACGGGUGGCAG
rnacentral:rRNA from 1 species